rnacentral:rRNA from 1 species
GAUGAACGCUGGCGGCGUGCUUAACACAUGCAAGUCGAACGGAACUUUUCUCCCGAAGAAGCGGAGUGCUUGCACAAAGUAGAUUCAUUUGAAAAGUUUAGUGGCGGACGGGUGAGUAACGCGUGGGUAACCUGCCUUACACAGGGGGACAACAGUUGGAAACGACUGCUAAUACCGCAUAAGCGCACAGUACCGCAUGGUACAGUGUGAAAAACUCCGGUGGUGUAAGAUGGACCCGCGUCUGAUUAGCUAGUUGGUGAGGUAACGGCCCACCAAGGCGACGAUCAGUAGCCGGCCUGAGAGGGUGAACGGCCACAUUGGGACUGAGACACGGCCCAAACUCC